rnacentral:misc_RNA from 1 species
GCAAACUUGGUCAUUUAGAGGAAGUAAAAGUCGUAACAAGGUUUCCGUAGGUGAACCUGCGGAAGGAUCAUUAUCGUAGGGCUUUUGUCCUGUCGAGAUAGCGUCCUUGCCUAUUUUUUAGAGUACCGUUUUGUUUCCUCAGCAGGCCUGCCUGCUACUGGGGACCCCCUAAACUCUUUUGUAAAUGCAGUAAUUGUCUGAAAUAACAAACAAAAAAUCAAAACUUUCAACAAUGGAUCUCUUGGUUCUGGCAUCGAUGAAGAACGCAGC